AAAAUCUACAUAAUAGGAAGGAUUACCAAUGAGUCAGUACCCGUGCUCUUUCACAAAGCGUCAAUUAUUUUCCCAUUGGUAAUUCAAGUGUGGAAGAAAUGCUGUUAAUUUGUAAGGUUAGCCUGGACACAUCUGUGAGUUAUCAAUACUGAUUAUUAUCAUAUCUACACUGUGUUAUAAAAUAAUCAGGGAUUGAAAUGUAAAUUCAAUGUUGAAUGAGUGAUUUUCACAGUGCCCAAGAUUGAGGAGUUUUUUACUCAAGAUGCAAGAACAUUUUUUUGUAGGCUAAUAUAACAGUAUGCAGUUUACUGUGCAAAAUCUCAGUAAACUUUGGAACUAAGUUAGCCUAUGCUUGAAUAUAGACGCUCACUUUUAGACCAGAUCAGUUCGAAUUGACACAUUAUAUUUUAAUUUUUUUUCUUUAAUUUUUCUUUAUUAUUAUUUCAUUAUUUUUCUCCGUUUCAACAGAAAAGCUCUGGUCGUUUUACAUUUACUUGGAAGCUUGUAGCUUGAAACUGAUGACAAUUUAAAAAAUACAUCAAUAUUUUAUUAUAAUUAAUCUCAUUGAUAGCCCGAUUUCCAUUUAAAUCUAUUUCGUAAUGAAAAUAAGAAACAAAAAGAAAGCGUUUAUUAUAAAAUUAUGUUUUUCAAGCUAUUCAAUGAUAGUAUGACCAGAAAAUAAUUAUUGCUCAAAACCUCAAAAAAUCUGAAAACCUGUUUCAAAUUAGUAAAUGAGUGCUAAUUUCAUUGAUGCAAGCUCUCAACUAUCAAUUUAGUUUUCUUGCAUUGCACAGCUAGUAGAAUAAUUGAAUAUACAGUACUUUCAAACGAUGCUUCAAAUAUAAUCAAUCGUAAUUCAUAGGAAUCAACUCAAUUUACUCGAUUCUAUGAAAUCAUACAGUCAUGAGAUUCACUUCCCAUUACGAUAAUUGAGGGCUUUAUGAUAGAUAUUGUUAAUUCCCUUGAGCUCAGGUUCUAAUGUGAUGGAAAUUAAAAGGUUACGAAUUAGCACGAAAUUAGUAAUGGCCCUGUCCCUAAUCAGCAUAAGCUUAUGAUAAUACCAGUACCACUGAUACAUGAAUAAUGAAUUAGAUAGCUAACAGAGAGGCUCUCAUGAAAUUCAUAACAUCGUACAAUGGUUUAAUCCAUCAUUAUGAAAUGUUUCACAUUCAUUCAUUUCCAAGAAAUGUCGGUUCACAACGUAAUCAAAAAAUCAUGAGUAUUAUCUAUGAUGUUCAAAUAUAUGCUAUCAAUUUUCAAUGUGACUAAUAAAUCAAAUUAAUCCCAAAGCUGAUGUAGACUGGAAUGAAAUCGACAAAUAUUGUUCCAUGGAGUUCACUUUCCAUUCUACAAAAUUCAAUAAAACUCUACUAUUUUACUCACGUCUUAAUUUAUUAACUUAUCGUAUUCGAAAGUAUAUUAUUGUGUCUUUCAGCACUUUGACAGCAAUAAUAGAGAUGAGAGUAGAAUAUGAUUUCCAUAAUCACAAUCCAUGACCAUGAACUAAUCAUAUUCGUUAUUGAAGUCAUACAUUACAUGCUUCAAUUGUCUUUAUUAUGGUUAGUCCUUCUUCCACGAACUAAUGUAGUGCACAGUAACUGUAUUUGAUUCAUUCAGGGAUUUGUUACUGUUCUCAGUGUACUCAUAUAAUAAAUGGUGGCUCAUAGUAUCAUAUACUAUAUAGUAUCAUAUAGUUGGUCAUAUCAUAAAUCUCAUAAUAUUAUAACUAUGAAGCUAUAAAAUUGCCAAUCCUUUUUAGCUCCAAUGAUUCAGUUUUUUCGAAUUAAUUCAUUGAGUGUCAUAAUUAUCUUCUGCAUAGCAGAUUUGAACGAUUUGAGACAAAAUCAAGAAAUGGAAGAAGUUUUGGGCAAUGGCCUGUUUUUUCUGUUCUGACUUAGUAUUGUUUGCUCUAUCCAUUAAAUAAAUGAAUAAAAGUAGUACUCAGUGACUCACUAUUUCAUCAUUUUUUUCUGUGAAAAGUCUCCCAAUUUCCCAAUCCCCCAAUUUAGUGCUUAUACAUUACUCAGAUCUGGAGGAAGUUGAGAAACUCAAUCAGCAUACAAGCUCAGAUCCAAUGUGAUAAAUUUCAUCCAGAGGUUUCCUCUGUGAGCAGAGAUUAGUUUUUGUAUUGUGUACAGUCUCCUCCCCAACAGAGACAUUUCAGUUUGAGGAACAGAAUAGGCAUUCCAUUACAAAGUGCAGCUUGAAGCUGGAAGCAAUAAUUGAUGAGGCAGAUGCCUGAAGUGUUUUGCUGUAUGGAAUCCAUUGUAGCGGUGAUCGGAGCGAGUGAAUUGCAGCGUCGCCAAAGCGUCUCAGCCAUUGUAGGUAGCCUACCUUUUGAAUGUUGGAUCAGGUCGAGCCGUGGUUAUCUUUGGACGUAACUGCUGAAAGUUUAACGGGCCUUCAUGAUGCCAGACUCCAGACUAACCAUUAAAGGAGUCGCCGUGCAGAAAACUCAUUUAGUAUUUAGAGCGACGAGUGGGUAGAUGCUAGCAGUUCAUAAGACUCGAACCCCCGUCCCCCGUCUAGGCAUCGAGGGCUAUUCUAUUCGUGCCAAGUUCGGGGAUUUCCGUCGUUUGAUUUAUCACGAAAAGCCCCGCCAUCGAAAGCGCCUCUCCCUAAACCAACCGUUGGGUUCAUUUACGCCGAGCACUUCUGCAGCCACCAACCGUACUUAACGCACUCCAACUUAGCGUCUUCUCCUCUGCUCUGCUCAGCUUUGCUUUCUGCUGCGUGUGUAUUAUCGACAAACGUCAAAUAACGGCCGAUGGCGAAGCGUAGCUCAACUUUCUCAAACUACAUCUCCUCUGGGUUCAUUCUUACCUGCUUUCUAGUGUGGAUGUACGCUAAGUAGGCUACGCUUUUCUCAU